UUGACUAUAUUUUCACAUCGCGAAAACAGUUUGAAGUUGGGCGUUGCAGCGUGUAGAUUAUGGGCGGGCAAAAGUUUGUUCUUCAACUAGUUCGUAACAAUAAACUAAUGUUUCAUCAUUUGUUAUGGUGUCGGCGUGGGAAAAUCCAUGGAUAAACUGAAGUAGAAUUUCUAUACAUCAAUAAAAGCGUGCCUGAUGUGGAAUGUCCACACGUGGGUUUGAUGUGAGUUAGAAUUCAACUACAACGAAGCUGUCUUCAAAAGCAUCAUUGAAGAGGACUACAUUUGUUGUUUAUCACAAAUCUUUAAUAUAGUGAAAUAAAAAAUGUUUAUACCUA